rnacentral:lncRNA from 1 species
AAAGUGGCCUUGUGCUAAAGGUCACAGGUUUCUCUGUGGCUUUACUCGAGCUUUCAAAGAAAUAUCUAUGGUUCACGCUUUCAAGAGGGUGUCGCUGCAGGGAGUCACCCAACUUAAAGCGGAUGUCACUUCUCAGGAGAGCAGGCGCAGCACGGCGGUCUGUGGUCUGUGGUCCGGACACCGACUGACUGAACCGGCGCCUGGCGAUGGGCAUGGAAGCCGCUUCCGCCUGCAAGCCCAUCAGAGGGCCGUGGUCAACCCCCCCCCCCCCGCCCCGUUUCCUCAACAGCCCCUCCGAAUCUCCAUCGCCUGCCUCAAGCGGGAUCGUCCUCAUACCGUUCGGUACCGGAAGAGAUCAGAGGCCAGCUAGUCAAGAACUCUCCGUUUCCCGCACCCCCCCCAGCCCCCAUUUGAAUGUCGCUCUAUUUCUCUCCACCCACCCCUCCCCUUUCCCUUUGGUUUUCCAGGAAGAGGGAUUCAGCUUGGCAGUUCCAGGGUCCUGGCUCCACGUGGGGUGCCCUGGGAACCAUCUGCUCAGCCUCCCCCAAAGAUCUCGUUCCCUCAGUUUGCCAGCUGCUUUCUCUUCGGCCCGUCUCUUUCCUUAAGCCGCUGAGCACACCCAAGUCUCUCCCAGCAUCCACACCUCUCCUUUCUGCUCCUCCACCACCGCCUUCUCUCUCGACCUUUCACGGCUAAGCUGCUGCCAGAAGACCUCGACGACUCGUCAGUCAUCCAGUCAUCGCCUCGUCUCUCACCGGCUCCUCGAAAGACUCCCCAAAUCUCGUUGCCGUCACGUCCUAGCAAGAGGCCGGGGCACGCCCUUCGGUUCCCUCAUCUUCCUAAACUCUCUGUGGUGUCUGAGGAAUGCUGCCCACGUCUUCAGUCUCUGCAAGUUCUCUCCACCCUCUUUCUCUGGGGGAUGGCCCCCUCCCCAGGUGCCCUUCCUAACCUCAGACCCUUCUGUCUCACUUUCCUCUGCGGCUUCUCCUCCCGACCACUUCUCAAAGGGUUCUGUUCUCGAAGGCACGGUCUUCAGGGAACAGGAACCCCUUGGGUCUCAGAGCAAGCUCAUGCGCUCCUACGAUUCGACUGGCCCCCGGAUGCCCAGGGCUUCUGAGUGCGUAUGACUGACGUCACCCUGCCCCUGACUCCACACUGCUUUCUCUAACUGUCUGCUGGACGCACCUCUCAGGAUGUCCAAAGGCUUCUCAAAACCGACACGUCCAAAAGGGAGCCCGAACAACAGGAAGACGGCAGAUCAGAGAGCAGCUUGAUGGCAGCCCCCCGGCCCCCGCCCGACCGAACAUCGUGCAGAGGCUUGGACCAGCUGAAAUGACGGAUCGCCCACUUUCCGCGUCAGGGACGGAGAUCCUCGGCGUGCAACAUGUCGAACCCCACUGACUUCGCACUUGUGACCCACGAAGAAAUACGAGCGACAGUCGCACCUGAGCAGAGGACUCUUCAAGCUUCACCCCCAGCGCUCUCGUGGUCCCGCCCCUACCCCGAACCCCAGAUAAACGCCCCAACGUUUUGUUUUCCCUUUGAGGAGGCGGGUUUGAGUUUUACUCCCACCUCCUUGUCUGGCCGCCUCUUGAUCAUAAACUUCUUUCCUUGCUGCAACCCUAAUGUCUCACUGAUUGGCUUGGCUGCGAAAUCGGGUACCCGGACCUGAGUUUGUGAGUGGUCCCAUCGCUUCCCUGCUUGAAAGGAAUCCAGGGUUCUCUACUGCCUGCAGGCCAAACUGGAGCAGAAUCUCCAAGGCCUCGCCCCUGCAGCCUUCCUCCCUGCUCCUCACCCACACGCCGGCCACCCUCCCGCCACGUGCGACUCUCUGCAGACCCCAAACAGGUUCUGACUCAAAGGACUUCAAGCUCAUCGAGCCUAAUAGUAGCAGGGUAACUCCUUCAAUCCAGUGCACACCGAAAGUCUUUAAUUUGCCUCUGCCUGACCUAGAUGGUGAGGGAUGGGUUCCUAUCCACCUUAGGUUGAUGGGGAUUUCCCAACACUGCACAGGUGAGUUCAAUGGCAAUUUCUUAUUUAUUUACACAGGCAGCCUAUGGGAGGACACUCUAAACCAUAUGGAACCACAUAGGAAAGUGCACUUGGGGAGAGAGUAAAUAGGCAAGGUGGUGGGGGACAGUCUUUGUAGCAACAGGAGAGUUGCGGUGUCCCCUGGUUCCCACAGGAAGGUGGGACUGGCUCAUUUGAAUAAUUUCACAGGUGAGCAGGGAACUUGAAACCACUACUUGGGGAGCACCCAUGCCUGCUCCCUGUGAUGAAGGGGUUGUUUGGCGAGGGGAUCUUAUCUCUGGGAGCUGUGGAGGAGGGAAACUUGCAGGUAGGCCAUUUGAGGCCCUCUUCGUUUACCAGGUUUCAAAGCAACACUUCAUAUUAAAUCUUCAUCUCAGGCCUCAUAGUACAGUUGUCUCUCUGAUGCCUUGACAUCGUGUUAUACCCUGGUGAUAUCUGACACAUUUAGGGAGGAGGAGAAAUGAUUCCCUGGGAAACAAUGUUGGCAGUAGACCAGGAGAGAGAGGGGGUCAUCAACAACCUUGAGUGUAUGAACUUUCAUUGAUGUUCACUUGCUUGAUCCCAAGAGAAUCCCCAAGCAGCCAAAGGUUCUGUGGGAGAGGUGACAUCCUGCAGCCCUCCAUCAUAUUUGGCAAUGGAGGGAGGACAGGGGAGGGCACCCCAUCUGGCAGGUCUCACAUGCCACAGGGCCCAGGUUUGGAUCCAUCCUGUUGCAAGGAAGCCUUGGUAACCUUCCCGCACCUGGUUUUGUUUUGUUUUGGUUUUGUUUUUGAGGAAC